GACUGCGUGUGCUCAGGUCUGGGCUGGAGGAGACUAAAGCACACGAGGGAAAUUUUUCUUCAUAAGGAUGAAUAAUUAAAGUAGAGAGCUCAGCGCCCAGGCCUCACUGUGGCUAAUCACUGCAACAGGGAGCAGCAGAGGAAAAAAAAAAAAAAAUCAAUGGUCAGGAUGACAUCUGGGGAAGAGGGCUGGCAGGUACCCAUUUGUGGGACAUGUGAGAGCCAGUGUGCAGAUGCUCAAGGCGACAACUCUUUUUCUCUGGUCUAUGGUGCCCACAAAAAUCAAAGGCACCAGGCACACUGGUAACCUUUGGUAACAACAUCCGUGAAAGAGCCAGCCGAAGAAGCCUUGGGGAGGAGGCAGUAAAUUACCCAUUUAUAAUAUAACUGCUCGGGCUGCUUACAACCCAGGAUAAAAGGAAGCUCUCCACAAAAGCGUCCAUCUGGAGCCAUCCUUGCCCCAGCCGGCACCAAGUCAGUCGUGUACACUCUUUUUCAGGCCCUUUGGGGAGAUGGAAUGGGGAAUCAUCAGAGAAAUGCAGCUCAGAGAGCUUUAUUAGCUUGGGGACAUGGCAUGUAUAUUUCUUACUUUAGAAUCCUACUUUGGCUCCCUUCAAGUUUACAGGGUCAAAUGAAAUUUAAAAAGAAGAUAAAUCAAAGUGUGUAGUUUUCAACUUUGG
rnacentral:lncRNA from 1 species